rnacentral:lncRNA from 1 species
ACAGUUGCUGGCUCUCCCUCUCCCCAGGGCACAGAAACGCUCUUCAGACCAUACUCCUACUGCCAGGGGAUGGAGAAGGCAUGGUGUCAGCAAUUCAAGACUGUUUUUCCUACCUCUUCAGUGUCUCUUUCGGCAAAAUGAAGUGAAAAUCAGGAACAAGAUGUCUCCAGAGUUAAAUACAUGAAUUAAAUGCAAUUUCAAUGGAUGUCCCAAUGUUUUAAAUUGAAUAACAUGACUUUAAAGAAGAUAUGGGAAACUUCAACUCCCAGAAAAAUGAAGUAGAUACAUACUUCUCUAUUCCUUCCACUAAGUACAACUGAAAACCGUGACACUAUAUAUAAAACAAACAUAAGAAGACUCUGAAAGGCAAGAAUGGGUUUUCUUUUGCCUCCUUUAUUCCAGACUUGUAACUGAAGAAGCCAUCAACCAAGAAAUUUCCAACAGACCCAGAUGGAAAAAGUCCCAGUGAAAGCCUGUUCUUUAGCCAAAGGGGCCAGAAAAGAGCAAGAUAGCAGGACAAGUGUCAUUGAGGAGAAUUUGCCUAGGAGAUGCAAAGAGAGAGAAGCCUAUACUUUGAGGGUGGAAGCCCCUCCAACAGAUCUCUGCCAUCAUGUGAGAGAGAGCCUGAGUUAGCCUGCUGGAUGGUCAAAGAUGAGUGGUGCAGCUAAGUGAAAGCCUGCUGACUUGUAGACAUAUGAGUAAGGCCAUGCUUGAUCACCUGGCUGCCAGCUGGCCUGCCAACUAAUUGCAGGUCUUCAUUUCCUCAAAAGUGAAUUCUCUCACCGCAGGAGUUUUCCAGAUCCUUUCUCACUUCCCUGUAUUAGCCAGCCACUUACACUGAAAUAAUGACAUGGAAGGACAGGAAAAGAUGGGACAACCUAUUUUCCUUUCAGCCCUUCCUUACUCAUUAGUAAGCCAAAGGUAGAAAGCACUAAUAAAAUGUGCUCAUAUUAAGAAGUGAAAGAAGAUAAAACAGUUGACCUAAUUCAGUGCUAGGUUUCCACUGUUCUGGUUAGAACAAAAUAUAUAUGUAUGCAUGAACUAACAAAUACAAUCUGUGAAGUUUUAGUGAUUCUGCACACAUGUUAAAUGUUCUUAUAUUUAAUUUAAAAUGGGCAUUGCACACUUGAUUUUCAAUCUAAGAUAUUCUAUCGCUAGUUUAUUACUU